CAAUAGCGUAUAUUAAAGUUGUUGCGGUAAAAAAGCUCGUAGUUGGAUUUCUACCGAAGAUAGCCGGUCGGGUCUUCGACCUUGUAUCUGGUUUUGUCUUUGGUAUCCUCAUAGGGAACGUUUCUGCGCUUUAUUGCGUGGUGCGGUAUCUAUGACUUUUACUUUGAGGAAAUUAGAGUGUUCACGGCAGGCAAACGCCUUGAAUAUAUUAGCAUGGAAUAAUAUCAUAGGAUCUUCGUCCUAUUUUGUUGGUUUCUAGGGCUAAGAUAAUGAUUAAUAGGGAUAAUUGGGGGCAUCUGUAUCAACGCGUCAGAGGUGGAAUUCUUGGAUUGCGUUGCGACAAACUACUGCGAAAGCAUUUGCCAAGGAUGUUUUCAUUGA
rnacentral:rRNA from 1 species